rnacentral:rRNA from 1 species
UGGGGAUUCUUCCGCAAUGGACGAAAGUCUGACGGAGCAACGCCGCGUGAGUGAUGACGGCCUUCGGGUUGUAAAGCUCUGUUAAUCGGGACGAAUGGUUCUUGUGCGAAUAGUGCGAGGAUUUGACGGUACCGGAAUAGAAAGCCACGGCUAACUACGUGCCAGCAGCCGCGGUAAUACGUAGGUGGCAAGCGUUGUCCGGAAUUAUUGGGCGUAAAGCGCGCGCAGGCGGAUUGGUCAGUCUGUCUUAAAAGUUCGGGGCUUAACCCCGUGAUGGGAUGGAAACUGCCAAUCUAGAGUAUCGGAGAGGAAAGUGGAAUUCCUAGUGUAGCGGUGAAAUGCGUAGAUAUUAGGAAGAACACCAGUGGCGAAGGCGACUUUCUGGACGAAAACUGACGCUGAGGCGCGAAAGCCAGGGGAGCGAACGGG